UGCAGUCGAGCGAGACCUUCGGNUCUAGCGGCGGACGGGUUAGUAACGCGUGGGAACGUGCCCUUCUCUGCGGAAUAGCCACUGGAAACGGUGAGUAAUACCGCAUACGCCCUUCGGGGGAAAGAUUUAUCGGAGAAGGAUCGGCCCGCGUUAGAUUAGAUAGUUGGUGGGGUAACGGCCUACCAAGUCUACGAUCUAUAGCUGGUUUUAGAGGAUGAUCAGCAACACUGGGACUGAGACACGGCCCAGACUCCUACGGGAGGCAGCAGUGGGGAAUCUUAGACAAUGGGCGCAAGCCUGAUCUAGCCAUGCCGCGUGUGUGAUGAAGGUCUUAGGAUCGUAAAGCACUUUCGCCAGGGAUGAUAAUGACAGUACCUGGUAAAGAAACCCCGGCUAACUCCGUGCCAGCAGCCGCGGUAAUACGGAGGGGGUUAGCGUUGUUCGGAAUUACUGGGCGUAAAGCGCGCGUAGGCGGAUUGGAAAGUUGGGGGUGAAAUCCCGGGGCUCAACCCCGGAACUGCCUCCAAAACUAUCAGUCUAGAGUUCGAGAGAGGUGAGUGGAAUUCCAAGUGUAGAGGUGAAAUUCGUAGAUAUUUGGAGGAACACCAGUGGCGAAGGCGGCUCACUGGCUCGAUACUGACGCUGAGGUGCGAAAGUGUGGGGAGCAAACAGGAUUAGAUACCCUGGUAGUCCACACCGUAAACGAUGAAUGCCAGUCGUCGGGCAGUAUACUGUUCGGUGACACACCUAACGGAUUAAGCAUUCCGCCUGG
rnacentral:rRNA from 1 species